CAAUAGCGUAUAUUAAAGUUGUUGCAGUUAAAAAGCUCGUAGUUGAAUGUUGGUGUCGAACGAGCGGUCAGCUUCGGCUGUACUGCUCUCUCGACUCCUUCCUUCUGUGGACUACGUCGCACUUUACUGUGUGGCGCUAGGACGCAGAUCGUUUACUGUGAAAAAAUUAGAGUGUUCAAAGCAGGCCGUACGCUUGAAUACAUUAGCAUGGAAUAAUGGAAUAGGACGUCGGGCCUAUUUUGUUGGUUCUAGGACCGUCGUAAUGAUUAAUAGGGACAGUUGGGGCCGUUUAUAUUCCGUAGUCAGAGGUGAAAUUCUUGGAUUUACGGAAGAUAAACUACUGCGAAAGCAUUCGGCAAGGAUGUUUUCAUUGA
rnacentral:rRNA from 1 species